AGCUCUGUAGUGUAGUGGUAACAUGCUCGCCCGGCAAGUGAGAGACCCGGGUUCGAGUCCCGGCGGAGCAA